CGUGCCGUAUCGUAGCAUAUUUGACUGUAAUGGAUAUCUUCUUUUAAACUAACGUAAAGUCCCAACAAGAUGGUCUAUUUCCUUUUCUUCAACAGAGAGGACACUGUUGCUCCAAAAUGCAGCCCACUCCGCAGCCAUGUUGGGAUCAACAGCUCUCUAUUCCCCAGGCCUGGCUGUGAACUCUCAUCCCGCUUCCAGGACUGAAUCAUUUUUUACUGACCCAAAGUAUUCCCACAAGGCCUCUACCUCGGGUACCCUCGCUGGAUGGCUGCUUUGGGAAUUUGUGCCAUCCCUGUGAUCUCGUCCUCAAGGCUCCUAUUCGGUUUGAAUUCUGCAAUUUCCAUCGUCAAAAACACCCGAUUCUCCUAUAUGUCCUCAUGUAAAUAUUGAACAAAGCCGGUCAUCAAAGCAGCCACCCCGCAGCUGCAUAAUCUACAGUAGCUGUUGAAAAAUAAAAAUAUUAUCUGUCACGA